rnacentral:rRNA from 1 species
UACGUAGGGCGCAAGCGUUGUCCGGAAUUAUUGGGCGUAAAGAGCUCGUAGGUGGCUUGUCACGUCGGGUGUGAAAGCUUGGGGCUUAACUCCAGGUCUGCAUUCGAUACGGGCAUCACUGGAGUUCGGCAGGGGAGACUGGAAUUCCUGGUGUAGCGGUGAAAUGCGCAGAUAUCAGGAGGAACACCGGUGGCGAAGGCGGGUCUCUGGGCAACAACUGACGCUGAGGAGCGAAAGCGUGGGGAGCGAACAGG